rnacentral:rRNA from 1 species
CCUACGGGAGGCAGCAGUGGGGAAUUUUCCGCAAUGGGCGAAAGCCUGACGGAGCAACGCCGCGUGAGGGAUGAAGGCCUCUGGGCUGUAAACCUCUUUUCUCAAGGAAGAAGAUCUGACGGUACUUGAGGAAUAAGCCACGGCUAAUUCCGUGCCAGCAGCCGCGGUAAUACGGGAGUGGCAAGCGUUAUCCGGAAUUAUUGGGCGUAAAGCGUCCGCAGGCGGCCCUUCAAGUCUGCUGUUAAAACGUGGAGCUUAACUCCAUCAUGGCAGUGGAAACUGUUGGGCUUGAGUGUGGUAGGGGCAGAGGGAAUUCCCGGUGUAGCGGUGAAAUGCGUAGAUAUCGGGAAGAACACCAGUGGCGAAGGCGCUCUGCUGGGCCAUCACUGACGCUCAUGGACGAAAGCCAGGGGAGCGAAAGGGAUUAGAUACCCCUGUAGUCCUGGCCGUAAACGAUGAACACUAGGUGUCGGGGGAAUCGACCCCUCCGGUGUCGUAGCCAACGCGUUAAGUGUUCCGCCUGGGGAGUACGCACGCAAGUGUGAAACUCAAAGGAAUUGACGGA